rnacentral:rRNA from 1 species
AACGAACGCUGGCGGCAUGCCUAACACAUGCAAGUCGAACGAGAUCCUUCGGGGUCUAGUGGCGCACGGGUGCGUAACGCGUGGGAAUCUGCCCUUAGGUUCGGAAUAACAGUUAGAAAUGACUGCUAAUACCGGAUGAUGACGUUAAGUCCAAAGAUUUAUCGCCUGAGGAUGAGCCCGCGUAGGAUUAGCUAGUUGGUGUGGUAAAGGCGCACCAAGGCGACGAUCCUUAGCUGGUGUGAGAGGAUGAUCAGCCACACUGGGACUGAGACACGGCCCAGACUCCUACGGGAGGCAGCAGUGGGGAAUAUUGGACAAUGGGCGCAAGCCUGAUCCAGCAAUGCCGCGUGAGUGAUGAAGGCCUUAGGGUUGUAAAGCUCUUUUACCCGGGAUGAUAAUGACAGUACCGGGAGAAUAAGCCCCGGCUAACUCCGUG